CAUGUUUAUUGCAAUUGAAUAAACUAAUGAUUUUAGUCUAUAUAAAAUAACAAAACAAAUUUUUGACACAAUUGAAAUUUUCUUAGCAAGUUAUUUGUAACAUUAUACACGACAUACUCGUCUCUCAAUAAAUCGUAAUGAAACUAUUUUCUUUAGUCUUCUUCUCAGCUAUCGUAUUUGUAGUUAUCCAUAAUGAUCAUUACAUGUCAAUGAGUAAAGCCGCGUCAGGUGAGUUGAAUUAAAGUAAAUAAUAAUAGAAACUUUGUAUUAUUAUAAACUUUAAGUACCAAAUAACUACUGAAAUUUAUUUUUUGACAACGUUAUUUAUCGACCUGUUUUAAAGUUGAGC